GGCGCGUUGACAGAGAGGUUAUGUAGCGGACUGCAAAUCCGUUUAGCUCGGUUCAAGCCCGAGACGCGCCU
rnacentral:tRNA from 1 species